AAACAGCUAUGACCAUGAUUACGCCAAGCUCAGAAUUAACCCUCACUAAAGGGACUAGUCCUGCAGGUUUAAACGAAUUCGCCCUUACGGGGUGCAGCAGGCGCGAAAACUUUACAAUGCGGGAAACCGUGAUAAGGGAACUCCGAGUGUCCGUCAAUGCGGACUGUCCGUAUGUUUAAAAAGCAUGCGAAGAAAGGGCCGGGCAAGACCGGUGCCAGCCGCCGCGGUAAUACCGGCGGCUCGAGUGGUGGCCACUAUUACUGGGCUUAAAGCGUUCGUAGCUUGGUUGUUAAGUCUCUUGGGAAAUCUAUCGGCUUAACCGAUAGGCGUCCAGGGGAUACUGGCAAUCUAGGGACCGGGAGAGGUGAGGGGUACUUCAGGGGUAGGAGUGAAAUCCUGUAAUCCUUGGGGGACCACCUGUGGCGAAGGCGCCUCACCAGAACGGCUCCGACAGUGAGGGACGAAAGCUGGGGGAGCAAACCGGAUUAGAUACCCGGGUAGUCCCAGCCGUAAACGAUGCACGUUAGGUGUAUCGAUGACCACGAGUCAUCGAGGUGCCGAAGGGAAACCGUGAAACGUGCCGCCUGGG
rnacentral:rRNA from 1 species